GCUGGCAUAGCUCAGUGGUAGAGCGCGUCCUUGGUAAGGACGAGGUCCAGGGUUCAACCCCCUGUGCCAGCU
rnacentral:tRNA from 1 species